UCUUAGAGAUGUGUGUCCCCAUGGGUGCUCCACCAAAGGUGUCAAGAUCGUCCCAGCACCGCAGCUUGGAGAGUUUUCUGUACCAGUAGCCCUGGAGGAUCGCACAUGCGCAGAAGCUGUCUUGCACCGUUCAUGCCUUUUCUGCAUUGCACGGUCUGGCCUGCCGGUUCCUCCUAGCUGGAACCAUCUGAAAGACAGAAAGCAAGGAGGAGGGUGGGUUGUGAAGCACCCACGGGGACACACAUCUCAAAGAACAGAUGUUACUGCACAGGUAAAGAAUAUAAUCGAGAAUUUGCUGGAUGGCUAUAGAUAGAAGAUCAACACCUCUUGCCUCAGACACCAGGACUGAAACCGGUGCCAUUCGUGAAGGAGAUGAAUCUCUGCGUCUAAACAGUGGAGUAUACAUUCUGAGCAUCCUCAGGGUGGUGCGAAAAUCUUUGCCGGAAUGAAAGACCUGGUCAGUGUUUUGCACAAGGGAGAAGAGUCACCCUGAAAGACUGUAUCAUCCGGUGAAGAAGAUAAUUGAUCGGUGGGAGAGUCCAUACGCUGUCCUUCACAGGGCAGAGGUAGGAGCUCAUCCCAACUCUGUCUGCGGCUGUGGACGGUUAGGAGGAACUGGUGGACCAGACCGCGCGAUGCAGAAAAGGUGCGAACGGGGCGAGACAGCUUCUGCGCAUGCGCGGUCUGCCAGGGGCUACUGCUACAGAAAAUACUCUGAGCUGUGGUGCCGGAAUGAGUCCAACACCUUUGGUGGUGGAGCACCCACAGGGACACUACUCAAAGAAGAACCUAUUAUCCUCAGACAUCCAUAAUUCUUUAAACACCACCUGAACAUACAUUGCACAAAUAUCAAUGAUGGUUGUGUUACCAGUUUGCAUGCGAUGCCUUAUAUGAAACCUUUUAGUUACAUGACAAAGUGUUGGAACAAUGAGUGUGUCAGGCUUAAUGUGUGUUAUGGUAUGGUGUACUUUCUGCCAGUUGGCAUUGAGAGACAUCCUGGGUGUCACAACUUACAGAUUUGUAUACAAAUUUAGUAGCUCAAUUGUAUUGCAAAAUGUUCUACUUAGCAGGCUCUCUCUUGUGGCUGAACAGUUUAAAAUAAAACAAGGCUAAUUUAUAAUUUUCUCUAUCCCUAUGUUUUCUUGUGCAGCUGGUCUCUACAAGG